rnacentral:lncRNA from 1 species
CUCUGAUUAACUGAGUGUUACUGAGAAAACUCCUUUUGUCUUCACCUGGGCGGUCACACAUCUUUGUAAAAUAGAGUAUAAUCCAUUUUCCUGCCUUAGCAAGUAGGGCUAGAGACAAAAUAGGCUAUCUGUCUCUUUGAUGACUCAGUGCUCCUCUCCAAAUACUGCACAGUCCUGCGAAGAGAAACUGCAGGGGAUUCUGGGCCAAGUGUACCCUGGCCGUGAAGAUGGAUUCCAGGGUAAAACCUACACCCACCUGUUAGCCCAUCGUUUUCCUCUGUCUUGAGAAAAUUGAGAAUCAAGAGUUGGAGGAUGAAGAGUGAUGGCCGAAGAUACUCUCCUGUCUCUGAGACCCUGAGGUCCCCUACAACGCCUAGGACGUGAGCAUGAGCAAAUGCAGAUGUUUCCCCACGAACAAGGGUCCGGUAAACUCUGAGGACACCUUGAAUACUGACGGGUCAACGCCUCUUCAAAGAAGAACAGGCUCGGGAGUAGAGUCCAGACUGAUGGAGCAGGAGCCCAGGGGCUCUGGAACUAAAGGGACACCAGGAUAGAAGAAGCAGGACUCAUUUUUUCAGCAAGGAACAGAAGGUAUGGGUGAUGUAGUUAUAAAACAGCCUCCAAAUGAAUGGUCAAGUCUCGGC